rnacentral:lncRNA from 1 species
UAUGUAUUUGUGCAUCAUGCCAUGCAUAUGUGGUAGUGAAUAUCGUGUGUUGAUUCUUGUUUCCGGAUUGCUUCAUCUCGAUAGAGUUCUGCGAGAAUGUCAGAAUGUGAGGAUUCAUUCUUCUAUGUUGGUUUGUGUGCUUCACGGGUUCGUUCUUCUUCCAACCGGGAUCUCACGCAAGAUGACCAUUUCCCUAGAUACCAUUAUUACCAUUGCCAUGCUAGUUGUUUCGUUUCUUCGCUAUGUCUUGCUGUCUACCACCUGUUUAAUAGGCCUCCCAACAUUGCCAUGAAAAGCCUCUAACCUUUCCACAACCCAACAAACCACUGUUUAGCUAUGUUACCGCUUGCUCAGCCUUUUGAUAGUGUUGCUAGUUGCAGGUGCAGUUGCUUUCAUGUGAAAACACGGGUUCCUUGUUGUAUCACCACAUUAUUUCUAAUUAAUUUAAUGCACCUAUAUACUUGGUAAAAGGUGGAAGGCCUGGCCUUCUAGCCUGGUGUUUAGUUUCAUCUUUGCCGCCUUAGUUUCGGCUAUCAGUGUUACGUUCUAUAAAUGAGUGUUCCUAACAUUCUUGGGGUUGUUAUGGGGACCCCCUUGACUUAGUUCAUGUUCGCUUAUGCAUGGCUCACCCCCCUUUUAUUCUUGUACUCGUAAGUUAGCCAGCUCAAACAAAUGCUUAGUCGCUUGCUGCAGCCUCACCACUUAACCAUACCUCACCCAUUAAGCUUUGCUACACUUGAUACGUUUGGCUUAGUCCGUGUGGCUCACAGAUUAUUACAAUAACAGUUGCAGGUAUAGUUAAGGCAAUACUUUGACGUGAGCACGAUGAUUGUGCUAUUUAGUGUUUCUUCUUCUUCUUCUUCUUCUUCUUCAUCGAUCUAGGAUGGUUCCAGGCCGGCAGCCUGGGAUAGCAAGGAUGUACAUCGUUCUUUUAUCAUUUGUUUUCGUCCGUAGUCGGACCCUUCUCUUCUACAUGAUGACUGUAUGAUGUUGUACUUAUGUGAUAUUGAUGUAGCUUGUGACGAGUGUAAGCCAAUUUCAUAUACUCAUCUCUUCAGUACAUGUACUUGUAACGAUAUCCAUUCUUGCAAAACGAUGAGAUGCGGUUCUAUCCCUGUCGAGGGCCUCGUGCCAAAAUAAGGAUAGGAUCGUGAUACGUCUCAAACGUAUAUAUAAUUUUUGAUGGU